GGAACACUGAAGUCGGCACACGUGAGGAGCAAAGGCAUCCAGGCCACGGUUUCUUUCCAAAGUGUUGGCACUGAAACUUCCACCUACCCAGAUUUCCCCUUGGCCUCUACACCAAUAAAGGGCCCAGGACUGGGACCUAGGAAGAGACCUCGACUGGAGUUGGAGGAGGAACAAGGAGAGACUUCAACUGAAUUUGAAGAGACUCUGGAUUCGAGUUACCACCCUGAUGAUUCUGUACUUGCAGAAGAAUCUGACGUAUCACUUCAGACACGAUCCA